rnacentral:rRNA from 1 species
AUUGAACGCUGGCGGCAGGCCUAACACAUGCAAGUCGAGCGAGCGGCGGCCGGGUGAGUAAUGUAUGGGGAUCUGCCCGGUAGAGGGGGAUAACUACUGGAAACGGUGGCUAAUACCGCAUAAUAUCGGAUGAACCCAUAUGGGAUUAGAUAGUAGGGGGGGGAAAGGCUCACGUAGGCGACGAUCUCUAGCUGGUCUGAGAGGAUGAUCAGCCACACUGGAACUGAGACACGGCCCAGGCUCCUACGGGAGGCAGCAGUGGGGUAGAUUGCACAAUGGGCGCAAGCCUGAUGCAGCCAUGCCGCGUGUAUGAAGAAGGCCUUAGGGUUGUAAAGUACUUUCAGCGGGGAGGCGUUACCCGCAGAAGAAGCACCGGCUAACUCCGUGCCAGCAGCCGCGGUAAUUC